AUGGUGAAGGUCGGUGUGAAUGGAUUUGGCUGUAUGGGGCGCUUGAUUACCAGAGCAGCCAUCUGCUCUCCACUUGGCAUAGUGGAGAUUGUCGCCAUCAACUACUCCUUCAUUAACCUCAACUACAUGGUUCCAGUAUGAUUCAACCCAUGGCAAUUCAAUGGCACAGUCAAGGCUGAAAAUGGGAAGCUUGUCAUCAACAUGAAGCCCAUCACCAUCUUCCAGGAGCAAGAUUCCACUAACUUCAAAUGGGGUGAUGCUGGUGCUGAGUAUGUUGUGGAGUCUAUUGUCAUCUUCACCACCAUGAAAAAGGCUGGGGCCCACUUGAAUGGUGGGGCCAAAUUGUUCCUAUCUCUGCCCCUUAUGUCAAUGUGCCCAUGUUUGUUAUGGCUGUGAACCAGGAGAAAUAUGACAACUUACUCAAGAUUGUCAGCAAGGCAUCCUGCACCACCAACUGCUUAGCACCCCUGACACCAACAAUCCAUGACAACUUUGGCAAUGUGGAAGGGCUCAUGAUCAUGGUCCAUGCCAUUACUGCCACUCAGAAAACUGUGGAUGGCCCCUCUGGAAAGCUGUGGCAUGAUGGCCAUGGGGCUGCCCAGAACAUCAUCCCUGCAUCCACUGGUGCUGCCAAGACUGUAGGCAAGGUCAACCCAUAGCUGAACGGGAAGCUCACUGGCAUGGCCUUCCGUGUUCCUACCCCCAAUGUAUCCAUUGUGGACCUGAAUGCCUCCUGUAGAAACCUUCCAAGUAUGAUGACAUCAAGAAAGUGGUGAAUCAGGCGUGUGAGGACCCACUGAAGGGCAACCUGGGCUACACUGAGGACCAGGUUGUCUCCUGUGACUCCAACAGCAACUUCCACUCUUCCAACUUUUAUGCUGGGUCUGGCAUUGCUCUCAAUGACAACUUUGUAAAGCUCAUUUCCUGGUAUGACAUUGAAUUUGGCUACAGCAAUAGGGUGGUGGACCUCCUGGCCAACAUGGCCUCCAAGGAGUAA